rnacentral:rRNA from 1 species
ACGGCCAUACCACACUGAAAACACCGGCUCUCGCCCUAUCACCGAAGCCAAGCAACGUCGGGCCCGGUCAGUACUUGGGAAGGCGACCACCAUAAUUC